AUGCAAAGUGUUGAAGGAGAUCCGCACAAUAGCCCUGUUUACCUCAUACAAACACAGCCAUGUUGUCACAAGGUGUGUGUGUAUCCAGAGAUCAGAGGCCCGGAUGGGAUGGUGUGGACAGGACAGACACGUGGAACAUUUAAACCAAACCAGAGACUGAUGACCAAAGAUUGUGAGUGUGUGUGUGUGAGGGGGACUUCUUAUUUUCAGAUGCUCUGACAUUCAGUAUGUAGGAGUGUAUUUUUGUAUAUGAGACAGUGAUGACCUGAAGACAGGAUGGAAACCCAAUCUCAAACAAGAACUGUCUUCUGCCCACAUGUACACUCAUGUGAUCGCCUCAAUAUUGUGUGGAUGUCAUUACCCGUCCAUCACAACAGUUCAUAGCAAGGGCACACCAACAGCCUUUGACCUUCAACCACAUAUACACUCACGCGUCAUUGCGUCUUGUGCUGAACUUUAGCAGGGCUUGUGCUGGAGCACCUGAACUCACAACUAUCCAAACGCGCUAUGUUUUUAGCGCAACCAAUCAAAAACCAGUUUGCUGUUGAGAAGUAAUCAGAGACUCAAAGUUACAUUGGCACUUCACUGUCAGCUCAAAAACCAAACACCAAAGGUCAAGAGUUUUUCCCCUCCCUCCAUCCUCCCCAAAGAGCGUUCCCAAAGAGGUCCUGGAAGUGUUAAAGACUUGGUCCAGAUAACAGCUGUAGCUUCUCUUAUUUAAUACGAUGUUUGUGUUCCUUCAAUCUCUUUCUCUUACAUAUUAAAUGGCAUACAAAGCAACUGCUUCGAUUUCAUUUGAUACAACCAUUCUCUUUUUUUGUCUUUUUCAUGGGUCACUUGUAGACAUUCAUUGGUUUCUCUCCCUCGCAGCCUGUCUUGCUCUAUAUUUGUCAAAUUGCAAAUACUCAGAAACUUUGAAUGAACAGUAAAGUAUUGAGGCUACCAUCUGAGAUAAAAUUGCAAUCUCAAAGAUGUCACUGAGACUUUUACGAACACACACACACACACACACACACACACACACACACACACACACACACACACACACACACACACACACAAACACACACACUCACUCACUCACACAAAUCAAACCAGUUGAAAAUCUUUAAAUAAAAAGACCAUGAGUAUUAAAUAUUAGCAUGACCUUUACAGAUGAUUGAAACAUUCACUGUAAAGAAACAAUCAGUUAGUCAACCAAUCACAUUUAUUAAGUGUAAUGGAAAGGUUAAGCUCAAUCGAAUAUUUCCUGACAAUAUCCGGCUAAAUGUUUAGUACAAAAUUAGAG
rnacentral:lncRNA from 1 species